AGUCUGCAUCCGUGCAAGGUAGAAGACCAUGCAAGGGGGGGAAAAAAUGUAUAAAAUGAUAAGGAGCCACCCGCUUUUUUUUUUUUUUUUAGCUAUAGAUAUCUGAUAAGAGAGGGUAACGGCUGGCUUCUUAUGGCGGGUACACUUUUCUCUGAGCACUGAGAGCGGAGUUGGUCUGAGGGAGGCGGAGGAGACAAGAAAAAAAUCUGAAAACUUUCCUUCAUGGGACAUUUAAAGUUUCCCGGUGCAGGUGGAGGAGCAGGAGGGGUGAGUGGAAUCAUGUUGGAUCUCCGAACAGAGCGAGGCAGGGGGACCGUCCUUAUUCUCUUCCAGCGGAUCAAACAACAACUCAAAAGACAUUUCUUCAGUCUGAGAGGUCCCAUCAUGCCCUGGGACAGUUGCACCGCUCUCCUUCCCCGACAACAGUGCAGGUGUCCUCCCUUCUGUGGAGCCUUCUGGAGCCUCUUUGCCAUUCAGAGCGAAAUCUGUGGUAUUGCGUGCUGAAGGACUAUGCUGGUCACAUUCCAUAACAGGUUUGCCACCACAGUUUGGCAGUGAAUCAGAGCAUGUUUGUGGUUCUGGGACAACAGUGUUGUCCAAAUCUGCUGGAGAGGUGGAAACCAGGGAGAGUUGGGACCCCCGGCUGCUGGCACUCUCUCCAUCCAGCAUCAUGGAGUCCAAUUCAGAGAUUUUAUCCAGGUAAGCUGCAUCCAUAGAGGCCUCGCUGGACAUAUGGAAACUAUCGGGGUCAUCAACUGCAAGAUUAGUGGAUGUUGCUCCUUUAAAUGUGCUUUCUUUACUUGGACCGGGACAGGACUGGUCAGCAGAUUCAGACUUUUGCCAGUCAUCCCAUAGGAGAGACUUGGAGGUUUCCAGAUCUGUAUUUGGAGAGAACUCUUUGGGGGAUUUUGUGUUGCUGCUGAAUUGGUUCACUCUGAAGAUACUGCUCUUGCCAGGACUUGGAAAGUCACCAAAAUCAAGCCUCCUCAUAUAAGACGUGGGCUUGAAUGCCACUUUCUUCUCACGGAUUCUGGGGCUUCUCAGUGUCAGGGAGCGAAAGGCAUUGGAAGGAGUAGAGGGCAAAAAGUCAGAGGAGGCGCUAUCCAAAUCCUCGCUUUUCUGGUUCACAGGCACACAUUUAUUCAGUGGAGUGCGACCUGCAGAUGGCUCAAACAACUUUCUUGAAUAUGUUUGGCUUUGGACUUCUGGAUUGCUGCAGAUGGACUCCCUCUCAUUGUCACUCAAGCUUCUCAUCAUCAUGUUAAUUUUAUGCUGCUGUGUGAAAUCUUCUGACUCAGUCUUUGCGUCAGUCCUGCUCUUUUCCUGUAUAUCAACUUGUCUGAGUUUUCUGACCCGAGACUCGAGGUCUUCGAUGUACUGGUCACUGCGCUCCAGAGCUCUCUUCAAGUGGUCCACCUCACGGUCGUAUUGCUGGAUUUUUGCUUCUAGUGCAGCCACUGUAUAACGACCAAACCUGGGAAGAAAAAUCAUUUUGCACAACACAUUAAAAAAAAAAAAAUUACUGGAAAAUUUCCUUGAAUUAAUUCAAAAUUAACUACGACACUUCAAAUGAUACGUAUCUACAUGAGAAGACAUGUUUUCUUAUUUGAGAAUUGUAACAUUCAGUAUGACAGGUUUAAGCUGAAAAAUGAAGCAAAACUGAAGUAAAGAAAAUGUCUCGUCGCUUUA